AACGCUGGCGGCGUGCUUCUCACAUGCGAGUCUAGCGAUGAAACACCUUCGGGUGUGAGUUGGCGGCUGACGGGCGAGGAACACGUGUAGAAUCUGCCGUCCACUCUGGGAUAACUCCGGGAAACCGGGUCUGCUACCGGAUAUGAGCCUUGAUCGCAUGAUCGGGGCUGGAAAGUUUUUCGGUUGAAGAUGACUUCCCGACCUAUCAUCUUGUUGGUGAGGUAAUGGCUCACCAAGGCGACGACGGGUAGCCGGCCUGAGAGGGGAACCGGACACACUGUGACUGAGACACGGCCCCCACACCUACAGGAGGCGCCACUGGGGAAUAUUGUGCAAUGUGGGAAACUCUGACCCCCCGACGCCCCGUGAGGGAUAAAAGCCUUCUCGUUGUAAACCUCUUUCUUGAAGGAAAAAACGAAAGUGACGGUACCUACAAAAGAUACUGCGGCUACCUAUGUGCCAACAGCCGCGGUAAUACAUAGCCGUGCAAGCGUUGUCCGGAAUUAUUGGGCGUAAAGAGCUCGAAUUACUGUUCGAUACGUCGUGAUGUGAAAAUCUAGGGCUCAACCCCUGACCUGCAUUCGAUACGGUCAAGCUACUGUUUGUGUAGACUGAGACUGGAAUUCCUGGUGUAGCGGUGAUGUGCGCAGAUAUGAAGAGGAACACCGAUGGCAUAAGGCAGGUCUCUGGGCCAAUACUGACACUGANGAGCGAAAGCGUGUGACGCUCAUGCGAUUAGAUACGCGUGAGUAGUCCACGACGUAAACCCUGGGCGCUAGUUGUGCGAACCUUGCCACUGUGUGCGACGCUCCUCACUGCACUCAGCGCCCCGCCUGGGGCAGUACGAUCG
rnacentral:rRNA from 1 species